GACGAACGCUGGCGGCGUGCCUAAUACAUGCAAGUCGAGCGAAUGGAUUAAGAGCUUGCUCUUAUGAAGUUAGCGGCGGACGGGUGAGUAACACGUGGGUAACCUGCCCAUAAGACUGGGAUAACUCCGGGAAACCGGGGCUAAUACCGGAUAACAUUUUGAACCGCAUGGUUCGAAAUUGAAAGGCGGCUUCGGCUGUCACUUAUGGAUGGACCCGCGUCGCAUUAGCUAGUUGGUGAGGUAACGGCUCACCAAGGCAACGAUGCGUAGCCGACCGGAGAGGGUGAGCGGCCACACUGGGACUGAGACACGGCCCAGACUCCUACGGGAGGCAGCAGUAGGGAAUCUUCCGCAAUGGACGAAAGUCUGACGGAGCAACGCCGCGUGAGUGAUGAAGGCUUUCGGGUCGUAAAACUCUGUUGUUAGGGAAGAACAAGUGCUAGUUGAAUAAGCUGGCACCUUGACGGUACCUAACCAGAAAGCCACGGCUAACUACGUGCCAGCCGCCGCCGUAACAC
rnacentral:rRNA from 1 species